rnacentral:rRNA from 1 species
GAGUGGCAAACGGGUGAGUAACACGUGGGUGACCUGCCUUCGAGUGGGGGAUAACGUCCCGAAAGGGACGCUAAUACCGCAUGACAUCCUGCCUUUGGAAAGGCGGAGAUCAAAGCUGGGGAUCGUAAGACCUAGCGCUUGAAGAGGGGCCCGCGCCUGAUUAGCUAGUUGGUGGGGUAACGGCUCACCAAGGCGACGAUCAGUAUCCGGCCUGAGAGGGCGGACGGACACACUGGGACUGAGACACGGCCCAGACUCCUACGGGAGGCAGCAGUGGGGAAUUGUUCGCAAUGGGCGCAAGCCUGACGACGCAACGCCGCGUGGAGGACGAAGAUCUUCGGGUCGUAAACUCCUGUCGAGCGGGAAGAACACCCACCGGGUGAACAAUCCGGAGGGCUGACGGUACCGCUAAAGGAAGCCCCGGCUAACUCCGUGCCAGCAGCCGCGGUAAUACGGGGGGGGCAAGCGUUGUUCGGAAUUACUGGGCGUAAAGGGCUCGUAGGCGGCCAACUAAGUCCGACGUGAAAUCCCCAAGCUUAACUUGGGAACUGCGUCGGAUACUGGAUGGCUUGAAUUCGGGAGAGGGAUGCAGAAUUCCAGGUGUAGCGGUGAAAUGCGUAGAUAUCUGGAGGAAUACCGGUGGCGAAGGCGGCAUCCUGGACCGACAU